GUUUAUAUAGUUUAAUAAAAACGUUACAUUUUCACUGUAAAAAUAAAGCAAUCUUUUAUAAAUA
rnacentral:tRNA from 1 species